GGGGAUGCCGGGAUUCGACGGAGGGAACCUGUGCGGGAGGAUGGCGCGCGCCGGUGUGGGCAACACCGCAACAAGCCCAUCAAAGAAGUGCAAACAAACUUCGCACAGCGAUCCGCUCACCGUUCCAGGUGAAGGAUCUCGCGUUUGCGGUCGCGUAACUGACCGCAAGGAGCGAGGCGCAACGCCCGAUAGCGUCUUCGUUCCUUCCUCUUCUCGGGCUUGGGUUGUGCGCUCGCUUCGGCGCACCGCCGACGCCAUAGAAGCACCCCACGCGCAAGUUGCGGCAGCGGACAUACUGCACUGUGGGUAAUCUUCAGCUGCCUACGCGCGUAGACCCACCUCCCCACCCCUUCGGACGGGGGUUCAACUCCCCCCAUCUCCACAA
rnacentral:tmRNA from 1 species